rnacentral:rRNA from 1 species
UACGUAGGGGGCAAGCGUUAUCCGGAUUUACUGGGUGUAAAGGGAGCGUAGGCGGCUGAGCAAGUCAGAAGUGAAAGCCCGCGGCUUAACUGCGGGACUGCUUUUGAAACUGCCCAGCUUGAUUGCCGGAGAGGUAAGUGGAAUUCCUAGUGUAGCGGUGAAAUGCGCAGAUAUCAGGAGGAACACCGGUGGCGAAGGCGGGUCUCUGGGUAGUAACUGACGCUGAGGAGCGAAAGCAUGGGUAGCGAACAGG